CAUGCUGCCGUAGUAUAACUAAAAUGCCGUUAUCCAACAUCUGGUCGAUUCUCAACUUUUGAUGCUAUAUUAAUGAGAAAAAAAAAACCUAUCGAUCUGUGUUUACGAAUUUUCGAUAUCUUGAAUAGUUUUGAAAAUAAUAAUUUAAAAAAUGUCGUUAAGUACAUAUUUGUCACGUGCGAAAUAAGCAAAAAUGACAUUAAGUAACUUUAUGAGUCUAUAAAGCCGCUAAGGUUCAUUUACACAUAUUUUUAUUAUAAAAAGUAUAUAUGGUUACUUGUCUUAAUUGCCGUUAGGAGUCUAUUGUACACUACAAAGCAGUUAAGGUACUGUAACUGUUUUAUAGGAUUUUUUUUUCAAUAAAGGAGUUCGCUUUUUUUAAACUAUAACGUCGUUAAUCGAAAAUGAUAGACUUAAACUUGACUAACGAUGUUUAACGGCAUUAUUGCUUAUUUUUGAGGUACUCGUAUUUUGAUUUAACGUACGUAGAAGCCUAUAACGGCACUUACAAAACUAAUAAAAAAUGUAUUGUCCGUCAUUAUUAGACUAAAAUGACGUUAUCUCACACUAAUACACUACAAAGCCGUUAACUGAUCUCGCGCGGGGCGGGGGGACACCGGCUACGUAACGAUCCUGUACCGAAAUCAAGGGGCGGGGGUGAAACUAGUGCAUCGCCGGGAGCUUGUGGGUGAGGACGCGUGCGCUCCGGGUUUGUUCCCGCCAAUUUUGCAACGAUCGCGAUAUGGCGAACCACCAAUUUAGAAACUCUGGGAGCAGAGCCAAAACUAUUUUAGGUAUGGUUAAGGAGGAAAAACCAAACCAAACCAAACCUACAAGAAAACCUGACCCUGCUCAGGAUAUGAAAAAACCGAAACAACCCAAAUCUAA